GAUGAACGCUGGCGGCGUGCCUAAUACAUGCCAGUCGAGCGAACAGACGAGGAGCUUGCUCCUCUGACGUUAGCGGCGGACGGGUGAGUAACACGUGGAUAACCUACCUAUAAGACUGGGAUAACUUCGGGAAACCGGAGCUAAUACCGGAUAAUAUAUUGAACCGCAUGGUUCAAUAGUGAAGGACGGUUUUGCUGUCACUUAUAGAUGGAUCCGCGCCGCAUUAGCUAGUUGGUAAGGUAACGGCUUACCAAGGCAACGAUGCGUAGCCGACCUGAGAGGGUGAUCGGCCACACUGGAACUGAGACACGGUCCAGACUCCUACGGGAGGCAGCAGUAGGGAAUCUUCCGCAAUGGGCGAAAGCUUGACGGAGCAACGCCGCGUGAGUGAUGAAGGUCUUCGGAUCGUAAAACUCUGUUAUUAGGGAAGAACAAAUGUGUAAGUAACUAUGCACGUCUUGACGGUACCUAAUCAGAAAGCCACGGCUAACUACGUG
rnacentral:rRNA from 1 species